rnacentral:lncRNA from 1 species
GUUGACACCGUUUUUGGACACGUACCCAGGAUCGGUAGAGUGUAGAUCGGUAAGAUAGGGUAACAGUAACUGGUCUGCAGGGGAAUUACCGAUGAGGGUGGUUGCCGAUGAAGGAACAGCUGAAUGAGAUUAAGUCUAUGGGUGGUGACGCGUUCAUGCCGAUGGUCAAGCAUUAGCUUUUGCCGAUGGCUACGAUGAGGAGUCUGCCGAUGAUUCGGAAGGAGAACCUGAAGGUUGCCGAUUGGUCCAUGGUGGUGCCC